rnacentral:rRNA from 1 species
AUUGAACGCUGGCGGCAGGCCUAACACAUACAAGUCGAACGGUAACAGGAAACAGCUUGCUGUUUCGCUGACGAGUGGCGGACGGGUGAGUAAUGUCUGGGAAACUGCCUGAUGGAGGGGGAUAACUACUGGAAACGGUAGCUAAUACCGCAUAACGUCGCAAGACCAAAGAGGGGGACCUUCGGGCCUCUUGCCAUCGGAUGUGCCCAGAUGGGAUUAGCUAGUAGGUGGGGUAACGGCUCACCUAGGCGACGACCCCUAGCUGGUCUGAGAGGAUGACCAGCCACACUGGAACUGAGACACGGUCCAGACUCCUACGGGAGGCAGCAGUGGGGAAUAUUGCACAAUGGGCGCAAGCCUGAUGCAGCCAUGCCGCGUGUAUGAAGAAGGCCUUCGGGUUGUAAAGUACUUUCAGCGGGGAGGAAGGGAGUAAAGUUAAUACCUUUACUCAUUGACGUUACCCGCAGAAGAAGCACCGGCUAACUCCGUG